UACAGAGGGGGCAAGCGUUGUUCGGAAUUACUGGGCGUAAAGGGCGCGUAGGCGGCCGCCUAAGUCAGACGUGAAAUCCCUCGGCUCAACCGGGGAACUGCGUCUGAUACUGGGUGGCUUGAAUUCGGGAGAGGGAUGCGGAAUUCCAGGUGUAGCGGUGAAAUGCGUAGAUAUCUGGAGGAACACCGAUGGCGAAGGCAGGUCUCUGGGCCACUACUGACGCUGAGAAGCGAAAGCGUGGGGAGCGAACAGG
rnacentral:rRNA from 1 species